UCAAACUUGGUCAUUUAGAGGAAGUAAAAGUCGUAACAAGGUUUCCGUAGGUGAACCUGCGGAAGGAUCAUUAUCGAAGCCUCCCCUCGCGGGGGGCGCUCACCACACGGUCCCUCGCUGUGCGCCUUCGGGCUGCACGCCUGGAACCGUCACGUGAUUCUCACACCUGUGCACUAUGCGGGCGCCCUCUCGGGGGCGUUCGUCUUCACACACCCUUAUAUGUAUGUCUUGGAUGUCUUAUUUGUUAAUGAAAUACAACUUUCGACAACGGAUCUCUUGGCUCUCGCAUCGAUGAAGAACGCAGC
rnacentral:misc_RNA from 1 species